rnacentral:rRNA from 1 species
UACGUAGGGCGCGAGCGUUGUCCGGAAUCAUUGGGCGUAAAGAGCUCGUAGGCGGCCGGUUGCGUCUGCUGUGAAAUCCCGGGGCUUAACCCCGGGCGUGCAGUGGAUACGGGCUGGCUGGAGGCAGGCAGGGGAGGAUGGAAUUCCCGGUGUAGCGGUGAAAUGCGCAGAUAUCGGGAGGAACACCGGUGGCGAAGGCGGUUCUCUGGGCCUGUGCUGACGCUGAGGAGCGAAAGCGUGGGGAGCGAACAGG